UACGGAGGGUGCAAGCGUUAUCCGGAUUCACUGGGUUUAAAGGGUGCGUAGGUGGGUUGGUAAGUCCGUGGUGAAAUCUCCGAGCUUAACUCGGAAACUGCCGUGGAUACUAUCAAUCUUGAAUACUGUGGAGGUAAGCGGAAUAUGUCAUGUAGCGGUGAAAUGCUUAGAUAUGACAUAGAACACCGAUAGCGGAGGCAGCUUGCUACACAGUCAUUGACACUGAGGCACGAAAGCGUGGGGAGCAAAUAGG
rnacentral:rRNA from 1 species